UGGAGAGUUUGAUCCUGGCUCAGGACGAACGCUGCGGCGUGCUUAACACAUGCAAGUCGAACGGAAAGGCCCCUUCGGGGGUACUCGAGUGGCGAACGGGUGAGUAACACGUGGGUGAUCUGCCCUGCACUUCGGGAUAAGCCUGGGAAACUGGGUCUAAUACCGGAUAGGACCACGGGAUGCAUGUCCUGUGGUGGAAAGCUUUUGCGGUGUGGGAUGGGCCCGCGGCCUAUCAGCUUGUUGGUGGGGUGACGGCCUACCAAGGCGACGACGGGUAGCCGGCCUGAGAGGGUGUCCGGCCACACUGGGACUGAGAUACGGCCCAGACUCCUACGGGAGGCAGCAGUGGGGAAUAUUGCACAAUGGGCGCAAGCCUGAUGCAGCGACGCCGCGUGGGGGAUGACGGCCUUCGGGUUGUAAACCUCUUUCACCAUCGACGAAGGUCCGGGUUUCUCGGAUUGACGGUAGGUGAGAAGAAGCACCGGCCAACUACGUGCCAGCAGCCGCGGUA
rnacentral:rRNA from 1 species